AUACCGAUCGUGAAGUUUCGAUAAAAACGAGUUUAGACAAACGAGUUGCUGAAGUAAAAAAGAAAGUAUGAUAAGGACGAGACUCGAGAGUUGGAAAGAUAUUCGAAGUAGGAUACAUGGAAAAAGAAAAGCAGAACCACAAAAAACACGAAGCUUCAAGAUAAAGCAAUUGAUGAAGACAAUAGUGUAGACACAAGAUGUAAUAUAUUGAAAAUAAAUCUUCGUCUAUAACAAUGAAAAAAAGAGAAACACAAGGAAUAAGGUAAUCUUUCACGUUCAUUGUUUCUGAAAUUCUAUUAGUUUAUCGAUUUUACAGUUAUUUGAAGAGACUCGGCCACGCCAUUAUCAAUCGGAUUGGUUAGCCUAAAUAGAUAGU